rnacentral:rRNA from 1 species
UACGGAGGAUGCAAGCGUUAUCCGGAUUGAUUGGGCGUAAAGCGUCUGUAGGUGGUUACGCUAGUCGGCUGUUAAAGAUCAGGGCUGAACCCUGAGCAAGCAGUCGAAGCUGCGUGGCUGGAGUACGGUAGGGGCAGAGGGAAUUCCCGGUGUAGCGGUGAAAUGCGUAGAUAUCGGGAAGAACACCAAAGGCGAAAGCGCUCUGCUGGGCCGAAACUGACACUGAGAGACGAAAGCUAGGGGAGCGAAUGGG